AAUCCAUAGGUUAAUGAGGCGAACCGGGGGAACUGAAACAUCUAAGUACCCCGAGGAAAAGAAAUCAACCGAGAUUCCCCCAGUAGCGGCGAGCGAACGGGGAGGAGCCCAGAGCCUGAAUCAGCAUGUGUGUUAGUGGAAGCGUCUGGAAAGGCGCGCGAUACAGGGUGACAGCCCCGUACACAAAAGCGCAUGUGCUGUGAGCUCGAUGAGUAGGGCGGGACACGUGGUAUCCUGUCUGAAUAUGGGGGGACCAUCCUCCAAGGCUAAAUACUCCUGACUGACCGAUAGUGAACCAGUACCGUGAGGGAAAGGCGAAAAGAACCCCGGCGAGGGGAGUGAAAAAGAACCUGAAACCGUGUACGUACAAGCAGUGGGAGCACCCUUUGGGUGUGACUGCGUACCUUUUGUAUAAUGGGUCAGCGACUUAUAUUCUGUAGCAAGGUUAACCGAAUAGGGGAGCCGGAGGGAAACCGAGUCUUAACCGGGCGUUAAGUUGCAGGGUAUAGACCCGAAACCCGGUGAUCUAGCCAUGGGCAGGUUGAAGGUUGGGUAACACUAACUGGAGGACCGAACCGACUAAUGUUGAAAAAUUAGCGGAUGACCUGUGGCUGGGGGUGAAAGGCCAAUCAAACCGGGAGAUAGCUGGUUCUCCCCGAAAGCUAUUUAGGUAGCGCCUCGUGAAUUCAUCUCCGGGGGUAGAGCACUGUUUCGGCUAGGGGGCCAUCCCGGCUUACCAACCCGAUGCAAACUGCGAAUACCGGAGAAUGUUAUCACGGGAGACACACGGCGGGUGCUAACGUCCGUCGUGAAGAGGGAAACAACCCAGACCGCCAGCUAAGGUCCCAAAGUCAUGGUUAAGUGGGAAACGAUGUGGGAAGGCCCAGACAGCCAGGAUGUUGGCUUAGAAGCAGCCAUCAUUUAAAGAAAGCGUAAUAGCUCACUGGUCGAGUCGGCCUGCGCGGAAGAUGUAACGGGGCUAAACCAUGCACCGAAGCUGCGGCAGCGACACUGUGUGUUGUUGGGUAGGGGAGCGUUCUGUAAGCCUGUGAAGGUGUGUCGUGAGGCAUGCUGGAGGUAUCAGAAGUGCGAAUGCUGACAUAAGUAACGAUAAAGCGGGUGAAAAGCCCGCUCGCCGGAAGACCAAGGGUUCCUGUCCAACGUUAAUCGGGGCAGGGUGAGUCGACCCCUAAGGCGAGGCCGAAAGGCGUAGUCGAUGGGAAACGGGUUAAUAUUCCCGUACUUGGUGUUACUGCGAAGGGGGGACGGAGAAGGCUAUGUUGGCCGGGCGACGGUUGUCCCGGUUUAAGCGUGUAGGUGUGUGUUCCAGGUAAAUCCGGUUCACUUUAACACUGAGGCGUGACGACGAGGCACUACGGUGCUGAAGCAACAAAUGCCCUGCUUCCAGGAAAAGCCUCUAAGCAUCAGGUAACAUCAAAUCGUACCCCAAACCGACACAGGUGGUCAGGUAGAGAAUACCAAGGCGCUUGAGAGAACUCGGGUGAAGGAACUAGGCAAAAUGGUGCCGUAACUUCGGGAGAAGGCACGCUGACACGUAGGUGAAGUGAUUUACUCA
rnacentral:rRNA from 1 species